rnacentral:rRNA from 1 species
UACGUAGGUGGCGAGCGUUGUCCGGAUUUACUGGGCGUAAAGGGAGCGUAGGCGGACUUUUAAGUGAGAUGUGAAAUACCCGGGCUCAACUUGGGUGCUGCAUUUCAAACUGGAAGUCUAGAGUGCAGGAGAGGAGAAUGGAAUUCCUAGUGUAGCGGUGAAAUGCGUAGAGAUUAGGAAGAACACCAGUGGCGAAGGCGAUUCUCUGGACUGUAACUGACGCUGAGGCUCGAAAGCGUGGGGAGCAAACAGGAUUAGGUACCCUGGUA